rnacentral:rRNA from 1 species
CCGCGGUAAAACCAGCACCUCAAGUGGUCAGGAGGAUUAUUGGGCCUAAAGCAUCCGUAGCCUGCUCUGUCAGUUUUCGGUUAAAUCCAUACGCUCAACGUAUGGGCUGCCGGAAAUACUGCAAAGCUAGGGAGUGGGAGAGGUAGACGGUACUCGGUAGGAAGGGGUAAAAUCCUUUGAUCUAUUGAUGACCACCUGUGGCGAAGGCGGUCUACCAGAACACGUCCGACGGUGAGGGAUGAAAGCUGGGGGAGCAAACCGGAUUAGAUACCCGGGUAGUCCCAGCUGUAAACUAUGCAAACUCAGUGAUGCAUUGGCUUGUGGCCAGUGCAGUGCCGCAGGGAAGCCGUUAAGUUUGCCGCCUGGGAAGUACGUACGCAAGUAUGAAACUUAAAGGAAUUGGCGGGGGAGCACCACAAGGGGUGAAGCCUGCGGUUCAAUUGGAGUCAACGCCG